rnacentral:rRNA from 1 species
GAUGAACGCUGGCGGCGUGCCUAAUACAUGCAAGUCGAGCGAACAGAUGAGGAGCUUGCUCCUCUGACGUUAGCGGCGGACGGGUGAGUAACACGUGGAUAACCUACCUAUAAGACUGGGAUAACUUCGGGAAACCGGAGCUAAUACCGGAUAAUAUAUUGAACCGCAUGGUUCAAUAGUGAAAGACGGUUUUGCUGUCACUUAUAGAUGGAUCCGCGCCGCAUUAGCUAGUUGGUAAGGUAACGGCUUACCAAGGCAACGAUGCGUAGCCGACCUGAGAGGCUGAUCCGCCACACUCGAACUGAGACACGGUCCCGACACCUACGGGAGGCAGCAGUAGCGCAUCUUACGCAGUGGGCGAAAGCCUGACGGAACAACGCCGCGUGAGUGAUGAAGGUCUUCGAAUCGUAAAACUCUGUUAUUAGGGAAGAACAAAUGUGUAAGUAACUAUGCACGUCUUGACGGUACCUAGUCAGAAAGCCACGGCUAACUACGUG